CGACUUCCAGAGGGGCCUCAGUUUAUCUUGUCCGCCAACGUCCCACACCUGGAAGGUGGUGCUGUGGCUUUUGGCGCUUCCCAUGGGUACCUUAAUCCGCUCCAUGUUGAAGCCCUUGGUGGGGAUCGUCUCCACAAACUCCUGCAGCUUGAGCCUGUAGAGGAGGGAGGUUUUCCCUGCAGAGUCCAAACCAAUCACCACCACAUGCAGCGACUGGAAGCUGGGGAGGAAUGUGGUGUUGGGGGCGAUUUCUGUUAACUGGUUCCCCAUGUUUAGUUGCUGUGAAGUACAGUAAUCCGUCCGUCGAUGGUUAGUCCCUUAAAAUCCCACUAUCCCUUGGUCUUCUUCGGUCCUCCUCUCUGUGACUGUUUGUCCUUGUCCCUGAGAGAAGUUGAUUGUCAGAGGCUUUGAAGGUGGCAGGAGGGACAGGGUGGAGUCUUCUUGGCUGGGGAGCUGCUCACACUCCUGGUCUCACUUCAAAGACUGAUACUGGGGGGGUUGCAGAGGACAGGCAAUCGGCUGCAGUCACUGAGGACCUGGAGAGUAAAAAGAGAGGGGGAGCCCAGGAGAGCAUUAUGUUGCCUGGAAACUCCACCUAACAAGGUCAGAGUCACGAGCGAGGGAACCACAGCUGUCACCAGUCCUCCACCAAGGCUGCAGCCGCCUGCUCUCUAGGGCAUCAGUCAGCUGCUGUACACCAGGAUGUCUGCUAUGCACUGGGAGGCCAGACGGCGUCAGAGUGCUCUGGACCGCAGGGUGGCCCGAGACAAACAGCAGGUAAAAAGAUGGUUUCUACCACUUUCUGAUAAGGAACCCUUCAUUGAAGGGUU